rnacentral:tRNA from 1 species
GCGCCCGUAGCUCAAUUGGAUAGAGCGCUUGACUUCGGAUCAAGAGGCUAGGGGUUCAACUCCUCUCGGGCGCACCA